CCUACGGGAGGCAGCAGUGAGGAAUAUUGGUCAAUGGGCGCGAGCCUGAACCAGCCAAGUCGCGUGAAGGAUGACUGCCCUACGGGUUGUAAACUUCUUUUAUAAAGGAAUAAAGUUAUGCACGUGUGCCUUUUUGUAUGUACUUUAUGAAUAAGCAUCGGCUCACUCCGUGCCAGCAGCCGCGGUAAUACGGAGGAUCCGAGCGUUAUCCGGAUUUAUUGGGUUUAAAGGGAGCGUAGAUGGGUUGUUAAGUCAGUUGUGAAAGUUUGCGGCUCAACCGUAAAAUUGCAAUUGAUACUGGCAGACUUGAGGACAGUUGAGGUAGGCGGAAUGCGUGGUGUAGCGGUGAAAUGCUUAGAUAUCACGAAGAACUCCGAUUGCGAAGGCAGCUUACUAAGCCGCAACUGACAUUGAUGCUCGAAAGUGUGGGGAUCAAACAGGAUUAGAUACCCGAGUAGUC
rnacentral:rRNA from 1 species